GAUGAAUGCUGGCGGCGUGCCUAAUACAUGCAAGUCGAGCGGUAAGGGCCCUUCGGGGUACACGAGCGGCGGACGGCUGAGUAACGCGUGGGAACAUGCCCCAAAGUGAGGGAUAACGCACCGAAAGGUGUGCUAAUACCGCAUAUGGUCUUCGGAUUAAAGGAUUUAUCCGCUUUGGGAGUGGCCCGCGUACGAUUAGAUUGUUGGUGAGGUAACGGCUCACCAAGUCGACGAUCGUUAACUGGUCUGAGAGGAUGAUCAGUCAGACUGGAACUGAGACACGGUCCAGACUCCUACGGGAGGCAGCAGUAAGGAAUCUUCCACAAUGGGCGAAAGCCUGAUGGAGCAACGCCGCGUGCAGGAUGGAAGGCCCUCGGGUCGUAAACUGCUUUUAGAGUGAAGAAUAUGACGGUAACUCAUGAAUAAGCACCGGCUAACUACGUGCCAAGCAGCCGGGUAAGCUCGCUCUA
rnacentral:rRNA from 1 species